AGUGAACGCUGGCGGUAGGCCUAACACAUGCAAGUCGAACGGCAGCACAGUAAGAGCUUGCUCUUACGGGUGGCGAGUGGCGGACGGGUGAGGAAUACAUCGGAAUCUACUUUUUCGUGGGGGAUAACGUAGGGAAACUUACGCUAAUACCGCAUACGAUCUACGGGUGAAAGCAGGGGAUCUUCGGACCUUGCGCGAUUGAAUGAGCCGAUGUCGGAUUAGCUAGUUGGCGGGGUAAAGGCCCACCAAGGCGACGAUCCGUAGCUGGUCUGAGAGGAUGAUCAGCCACACUGGAACGGAGACACGGUCCAGACUCCUACGGGAGGCAGCAGUGGGGAAUAGUGGACAAUGGGCGCAAGCCUGAUCCAGCCAUACCGCGUGGGUGAAGAAGACCUUCGGGUUGUAAAGCCCUUUUGUUGGGAAAGAAAAGCAGCAGGUUAAUACCCCGCUGUUCUGACGGUACCCAAAGAAUAAGCACCGGCUAACUUCGUG
rnacentral:rRNA from 1 species